ACGAACGCUGGCGGCGUGCUUCACACAUGCAAGUCGAACGGAAAGGCCCUGCUUUUGUGGGGUGCUCGAGUGGCGAACGGGUGAGUAACACGUGAGUAACCUGCCCUUGACUUUGGGAUAACUUCAGGAAACUGGGGCUAAUACCGGAUAGGAGCUCCUGCUGCAUGGUGGGGGUUGGAAAGUUUCGGCGGUUGGGGAUGGACUCGCGGCUUAUCAGCUUGUUGGUGGGGUAGUGGCUUACCAAGGCUUUGACGGGUAGCCGGCCUGAGAGGGUGGCCGGCCACAUUGGGACUGAGAUACGGCCCAGACUCCUACGGGAGGCAGCAGUGGGGAAUAUUGCACAAUGGGCGGAAGCCUGAUGCAGCAACGCCGCGUGCGGGAUGACGGCCUUCGGGUUGUAAACCGCUUUCGCCUGUGACGAAGCGUGAGUGACGGUAAUGGGUAAAGAAGCACCGGCUAACUACGUG
rnacentral:rRNA from 1 species